GCCUACGGGAGGCAGCAGUCGAGAAUCAUUCACAAUGGGGGAAACCCUGAUGGUGCGACGCCGCGUGGGGGAAUGAAGGUCUUCGGAUUGUAAACCCCUGUCAUGUGGGAGCAAAUUAAAAAGAUAGUACCACAAGAGGAAGAGACGGCUAACUCUGUGCCAGCAGCCGCGGUAAUACAGAGGUCUCAAGCGUUGUUCGGAAUCACUGGGCGUAAAGCGCGCGUAGGCUGUUUCGUAAGUCGUGUGUGAAAGUCGCGGGCUCAACCCGCGGACGGCACAUGAUACUGCGAGACUAGAGUAAUGGG
rnacentral:rRNA from 1 species